rnacentral:lncRNA from 1 species
AUUCAUCAUGUAGAUAAGCAUAGCAUAUUGCAUAAUAAAUCGCGUAGCAUUUCCAUGAUUAUGGAGCAUUACGCUGAAAAAAUAUCGUGCAUCAUUAUUGCAAGCAUAAGCUAGUCUCAGACCGUGGUUACCGUUUGAGAGGUGGUUUUACCCGAAGGUGAAGGUGUUAUUCCGAGGAGUUUGGCAUCGUAUUUUAGUCAGCCGUACUUCCCCAGUAGUGCGAUAUUGGAGGAUGAGUUUCUGUCGAGCAGAGAUGGGAAUGUUAAUACAAG